GAAAUGCGAUAAGUAGUGUGAAUUGCAGAAUUUAGCGAAUCAUCGAAUCUUUGAACGCACAUUGCGCCCCUUGGUAUUUCAUGGGGCAUGCCUGUUCGAGCGUCAUUUCAACCCUCAAGCACUGCUUGGUGUUGGGCGUUUGUCCCGCCUACGCGCGUGGACUCGCCUCAAAGUCAUUGGCGGCUGUUCCCCUUCGGCUCGUAAGCGCAGCACAGUCGGCGCCCGGAGCUCUGGUGGGAUGGCGUCCAGCAAGCUAUAUUUUCUGGCUUGACCUCGGAUCAGGUAGGGAUACCCGCUGAACUUAAGC
rnacentral:misc_RNA from 1 species